rnacentral:tRNA from 1 species
UGGUGCCGAAGACCGGAAUCGAACCGGUACGAUAUCACUAUCGCUGGAUUUUGAGUCCAGUGCGUCUGCCAGUUUCACCACUUCGGC